AUCCAGCCGACGAGUCCCAAAUAGAACGACACGCCCGUCCGGGAU
rnacentral:hammerhead_ribozyme from 1 species